rnacentral:rRNA from 1 species
UACGUAGGUGGCAAGCGUUGUCCGGAAUUAUUGGGCGUAAAGCGCGCGCAGGCGGUUCUUUAAGUCUGAUGUGAAAGCCCACGGCUCAACCGUGGAGGGUCAUUGGAAACUGGGGAACUUGAGUACAGAAGGGGAAAGCGGAAUUCCACGUGUAGCGGUGAAAUGCGUAGAGAUGUGGAGGAACACCAGUGGCGAAGGCGGCUUUCUGGUCUGUAACUGACGCUGAGGCGCGAAAGCGUGGGGAGCAAACAGG